AGUAAAUUACCAUCAUCACAGUAGUUUGUAGUUUAUUUUUUCAUCCAACACUCUCAGACUUCCCCACACGUCAUAUUGGCAAUUCUCUCCUUCCCCCACCAUUCUCUCUCUCUCUCUCUCUCUGCCGUCAACCACAACGUGCACACCUUCCCUCCUCUCCUCACCUCAGACUCUGUUGACUGAUAACUAACGUGCUUAAUUUCCCAUUGGUUUGUACCGGAACUCCGCCAGUCCCUACGCACCACAGAUGACAACUCUGCUAACGCCUGUCAGCCUCCAGUGAUCCCUCGUUACAAACUUUUCUGGACCCUGACCGGAGGAGGCAAUGAGUGUUGUUCUGUCUGCCUGCCUGGCCGUGAAUAGGCUAGUGAGUUGCCCGCUAGGUAUCCUUACAGACCUCAGACCUCGCCGUAUUGCUCGAAAUUAAACCAAGUACUGCUAGUUAAUUCAGACGGGUCGCAAUUACUAUGGAUUCGUGGAAGACCAAAGCUUUUCCGCUCGAAUCAAGGUCUUAACGAAGGCGAUGAAACACCUCCACCGAACCCAAGUGAAGGCGAGCAGACGGAGUGGCGGGCAGGAGUGGUGGGUCAGUGGCUUCUUACCUUGACCUCCGUGAACACAGUGGAGAGCCUGUGAGCUGCAAACACCACAACUUCACGGCGCCUUUGUCCCCCCUCGCCUGGCUGGUUGUCUUGCAUCUCUCCGACACUCCAAUUCGUGACUCAGCCUCCACUCGUCCGUGAAUCCCCGAUGCACCCUCACCACCACUACCUUUAUCAUCACCGCCCCUUCAAUAGAUUGGCUUCUGAGGGCAGCUCCAUUGUCCCUAACCCCUCUCUGUCCGGAUUACGUUGCGUCUAUUUUUGUUUGUAAUGAUUUAUUUCUAUGUGUUUGUUCUGUCAUUGUCUUCCUUCA